CAUGAUUUUUUCCAAGAACAUAUUGUCCAUGAUUUAUUCCAAGAACAUAUUGUCCAUGAUUUAUUCCAAGAAAUUAUCGUCCGUGGUAUAUUCCUACAGCAUCUUGCUCAUGAUUUAUUCCAAGAUCAUAUUGUCCAUGAUUUAUUCCAAGAGCAUAUUGUCCAUGACUUUUUGACAAGAACAUAUUGUUCAUUAUUUAUGACAAG
rnacentral:lncRNA from 1 species